CCCUAUGCUGCCAAGAAAAUCUUCUAGCGAGGUUCGAGCCGCCCGUACCCCAAACCGACUCAGGUGGUUAGGUAGAGAAUACCAAGGCGAUCGAGUGAACCGUGGUUAAGGAAUUCGGCAAAAUACCCCCGUAACUUCGGGAGAAGGGGGGCCCAGAGGGUGACGGGACUUGCUCCCCGAGCCUGAACGGCCGCAGAGACCAGGGAGAAGCGACUGUUUACUAAAAACACAGGUCCGUGCCAAGUCGCAAGACGAUGUAUACGGACUGACGCCUGCCCGGUGCUGGAACGUUAAGGGGACCGGUUAGCCUCACGGCGAAGCUGAGAACUUAAGCGCCAGUAAACGGCGGUGGUAACUAUAACCAUCCUAAGGUAGCGAAAUUCCUUGUCGGGUAAGUUCCGACCUGCACGAAUGGCGUAACGAUUUCUCCACUGUCUCAACCACGAACUCGGCGAAAUUGCACUACGAGUAAAGAUGCUCGUUACGCGCAGAAGGACGGAAAGACCCCGGGACCUUUACUACAGCUUGGUAUUGGUGUUCGGUACGGCUUGUGUAGGAUAGGUGGGAGACUGAGAAGCUGACACGCCAGUGUCGGUGGAGUCAACGUUGAAAUACCACUCUGGUCGUUCUGGAUAUCUAACCUAGGUCCGUGAUCCGGAUCAGGGACAGUGCCUGGUGGGUAGUUUAACUGGGGCGGUUGCCUCCUAAAAGGUAACGGAGGCGCCCAAAGGUUCCCUCAGCCUGGUUGGCAAUCAGGUUUUGAGUGUAAGUGCACAAGGGAGCUUGACUGUGAGACCGACAAGUCGAACAGGGACGAAAGUCGGGACUAGUGAUCCGGCGGUGGCUUGUGGAAGCGCCGUCGCUCAACGGAUAAAAGGUACCCCGGGGAUAACAGGCUGAUCUUGCCCAAGAGUCCAUAUCGACGGCAUGGUUUGGCACCUCGAUGUCGGCUCGUCGCAUCCUGGGGCUGGAGUAGGUCCCAAGGGUUGGGCUGUUCGCCCAUUAAAGCGGUACGCGAGCUGGGUUUAGAACGUCGUGAGACAGUUCGGUCCCUAUCCUCUGCGCGCGCAGGAAACUUGAGAAGGGCUGUCCCUAGUACGAGAGGACCGGGAUGACGAACCUCUGGUGUGUCAGUUGUUCUGCCAAGAGCACCGCUGAUUAGCUACGUUCGGGAGUGAUAACCGCUGAAAGCAUCUAAGCGGGAAGCAUGCUUCAAGAUGAGGUUUCCAUGGGGUUUACCCCGAGAGGCUCCCAGCUAGACUACUGGGUUGAUAGGCCGGAUGUGGAAGUGCGGUAACGCAUGGAGCUGACCGGUACUAAUAAGCCGAUAACUUG
rnacentral:rRNA from 1 species